UUUACAAAAAAUGCACUCCAUAUUAUGUUGGUUCUAAAAUUUUUACCUAUUGUUGCCAUUUAAUCAUACUUUCAUUAUCUUGGGUAUGGAUUCUUCUACUCCAAUGUUCAUAUUUAAACUAUGUAUGACGUAACAUAUAUGGUAAUAGUUUUUCUUUUUCUUCAUGUGGUUGUUGUUGCUUACAUUCUGCUCCAAGUACUUGAUAAUUUUUCUUCCUUUAUUGAUUGACAUAAUGGAACCAUGUGUUCAUUGAGAGUUCCGUUUGUGUAACAUUCAAACUAUUUUUAAAACUAUAAGUCAGUCACAUGAUGCAUUAAUUCAUCAACAACGAAAUCAAAGACGAAGAGAUUGACGACAUCAAGCUGAAACUGGAUUCAUUAAUCAUCAUAAAAGAGUAAUUUAGCCUAUGUUAUCUACAAAUAAUAACUCUCACGUUGUCCAUGUACACGAACCUAUAGCAUACCAUCAUUCUAAGCCUUCCAUUUCUAACAAUGAAGCAAUGAACAUAUGCAAUACUGAAUUACAAGAAAGUUCUAAUCAAUUAAAUGUACCAUGUAUGCAUUACUGACAUGCACAUAUUGUAAUGAUUGUGGUUCAAAAAAAAUUCUAUAGAGAAAGUAAAGGUUUCUGUUGUUCUGAUGGGAAAGUUUAACUCAAUGUGUUUGAUCUACCAACCAACUAUACAAUCUAUUUACUUCUAAAGAAUCUGCAUGUACGGAAUUCAAAAAAAUUGUCUGGGGAUAUAAUAAUCAAUUUGCAUUCACUUCAUUUGGGGUAAAGUAUGACAAAGAACUGUUUAAAUCAUACAGAGGUAUCUACACAUUUAGGGUUCAAGGUCAAGUAUAUCAUUACGUAAAUCCACCUAUGCCAGAAAAUAAUACGCCUUCUUAUAUGCACUUAUAUUUUUAUGACACAGGUAACAAAGUUAAGAAUCGUAUGAAAAUUUCGAAGAAUUUUGUUCAAUCUUUUUGAUUAGUUUAAUUGAAAUCCUUAAAUUAAAACCGUAUAGUAGAUUCUUUAGGUCUUUAAGUAAUAUAACGAAUUUGCAUGAUCAUCGAAUACAAAUAAGAUGUGAUCUGGGACUUGAUCAAAGAGUUUUCAAUGCUCCUAUGACGUCUCAAGUUGUUGUUGUAUGAGUCGAAGACGAUGAAAAUGCAAAUGUUCGUGAGACAUUACUAUUUAUAGCCAUUUUGGUGAUUCACAUAAGGUUCAUUACUACUGAGGUUGUUAUGAUCCUUUACGAUAUCCUUUACUUUUUUCAUAUGGAGAAUCUGGUUGGCAUUAAGGCAUUAAGAGAUGCAACAACAAAUAUUUUCAGUCUCAACAUGUGUCUGAUGUAGAUGGUUUUCCUAGUACAGUAACUUUCGCUUUUGAAAUUAUUGAAAAAGAGAAUAAAGGUUUAUGCAUAUAUUUUUUUUAUAGUUCAAAUUUCUACAAUGUAAAUUAAUAAAUGAGUAUAUAAUUUUGACCUUUUUCGUCAUGCAGUGCUUAAUGGAACGAAAAAACGGUCUCAGGUCUCUUGUUGAGAAUACUAUUCAUACAAAUUCCAAAUUAGGCUAUCUGGUAAGUCUUAUUACUGCACACUUGUAGAUUAUUUCAACAUUUUGUUGUGGAUAUGUAUGUUAAGAUUGAAAUUGCUAGGUUAGACUAUUUUCCGAAUAACUAAAAAAAAUCCAUGUUGAACUAUAUCAAGGUAUUGUAACUAGUGUUGAAAAUGGGGAAAUGAGAGGGUACAAAAUUGGAAGAAAAUUUUUCCUACCACAAUCAUUUACAUGUGGGCUUAGAAACUUGCUAAGAAGAUACAUGGAUGUGAUGUCUAUUGUGUAGCAUUAUAGAAAAUAAGACAAUUUUUUUACUAGGACAUGUAAUCCAAAUUGCUUAGAGUUUACGCAGGAACUAAAGCAUAAUGAUGAAGUUCAAAAUCGAUUAAAUCUAAUUGCACGUAUAUUUUAAGCAAACUUAGAAGAGUUAAGAAAUUAUUUAUACAAAAAAAAAUAAAUCUUAGGCCCUGUUGUUGCACAUGAAUAUACGAUUGAAUUUAAAAAACGGGGCUCCUUCAUGUGCAUCUAUUAUUGAUUUUCAAAUCUGGCCAUAAAAUUUGUUGUGUUGAACAGGUCAACACGAUAGUAUGUUCUAAAAUUCCUGACAAAAAUAUAUACCCUUAUCUUUAUUUUGUUAUUGUUAAACAUAAUAUGCAUGUCCUUGUGGAAACCUUAAUCCUAAAAGUGUAUACAUGGAAGAAAUUAAAGGUUGUAAAAAUAAAUACCCUAGGGAUUAUUGCAAUAUAACUACAUUUGGUGAUAACUCAUAUCCGUUAUAUAAGCGUAGCAAUAAUGACAUCUCUGUUAAAAUUAGAGGUCAAAUGUUGGACAAUCGCUAGAUUGUACCAUAUAAACCUUAUUUAAUUGCGAAAUUUGAUUGUCAUAUUAAUGUUGAAGUAUGCUCUUCUAUUAAAGUUGUAAAAUAUUUGUACAAAUAUGUAUACAAAUGAUAUGAUCGUAUUAAUUUCAUAAUUGGCAUAAAUGAAGUAGAGAAAGAAAUUGAUGAAAUUUCAGCUUAUCAAUUUGCUAGAUAGAUAUCUCCACUUGAAGCUAUGUGGAGAAUUUUUCUUUCAAUUUGUUAGAAAGUUGUCCUACUUUUUAUUCUUUACGGCCUCAUAUUGAAAAUCACCAAUAAGUUACAUAUAAUAGUUAUGAUAAUUUAUCUACUAUCAUUGAGAACGAAAAUACGAAGAGAACAAUGUUGAUAGAAAUCUUUCGAAUGAAUCAAACAAGUGAAUUUACUCGAACAUUGUUGUAUCGAGAUUUUCCUACACAUUUUGUUCGGAAUACUAAUAUAAAAAUUUGGACUCCGAAAAAGAAGCAAAUUGUUAUAGGAUGAAUUGUCACAGCAAAUCCUUUUGAAGGAGAAUGCUAUUUUCUCUGCAUUCUUCUUAAUCAUAUUCAAGGACCAACAUCAUUUCUUGAUUUACGAACUUUAAAUGGGGUAACUAUUACAACUUAUAUAAAGGCUAUACUUCUACAUGGUUUAUUAAGCGGAGAUAAUCAUUGUAAAGAAUGUUUAUUUGAAGAUAUUGUUUACAAAAUGCCAACUUCUUUAAAAUGACUAUUUGCUAUACUACUUACGCUUUGCAACCCUAAUCAUCCAAAAUUACUAUAAGAUAAAUUUAAUGCUUAUAUGACAGAUGAUUAUCUACAUGAAAAUAUACCUACAGAAUUGCUAAAGUACAUGCUCUACAGGAUAUUGGUGGUCUUCUAAAAUCAUUGGGUAAAAUCAUAAAUGAUUAUGAAAUAGUUCCAUUCAGUGUAAAUAUAGAUGAGAACGAAAGGUUGAGAAGAAUGGUUAUAGAUGAGAUGAUCAAUUUGGAUAUCAAAGGAGAUUAUGCUUGUGCAGCGAGUUUAAAUAAAGAAUUACAGUUUGCAUAUGAUGCGAUUAUGGAAAAAGUUAAAUUAGAAUCAAGUGGUGCUUUCUUUAUUGAUGGUCUAGGUAAAAUAUUUUUAUAUAAAGCAUUUCUUACUGCUGUGGGAUUUCAAAAUUUGAUUGCUUUAGAAACUGCACUUCUGGAGUAUCUGCAUCUCUAUUACCUGGAGGUUGAACAACUCAUUCUAGAUUUAAAAUUUCUUUAGAUACAUAUGGUGAAGUAAAUUACUUUGUUAGCAAGCAAUUUGCUUUAGGAACAUUACUCAGAAUGUGUAAGUUAAUAGUUUGGGAUGAAGUACCCACGGUGGAUCGUUCUUCUAUUGAAGCUGUAGAUAAAAUGUCGAGAGAUAUUACCGAUUGCAAUUUGCCUUUCGGUGGCAAAGUGGUUAUUCUCGGAGGAGAUUUUCGACAAGUUUUACCAAUUGUGUCGAGAGGGAAAAAAAAAAGAUAUAAUGAAAGCUAGCUUAGCCUUUUCUGACAUAUGACCUUUGUUUAUACAUCUACCAUUGAUUGAGAAUAUGAGGGUUAAAUUGGAUCCCACAUUUUGUGAUUAUUUACUUAGAAUUGGAGAUAGAACAAAAGAAGAUACUUGUAACUACAUCAAGCUUCCAGAGAAUAUCACUUUACGAUUUGAGGACAAAAUUCAGUCUCUAAAAAAUUGAUAAAUUAUUAUUUCCCAAAUAUUGAAGUGUGUGAUGGCAAAUCGAGUUAUUUUUAUGCCCACAAAUGAAUGUGUUGAUCAUAUUAACAGAAUUUUACUCGAACAAAUUCUAGGUCUAAUUUUCACAUAUUUUAGCUUCGACGAAACACUUGAGAAAUGAUAAUAGAGCUUGCCAAGAAGAUUUUUUGAAUAGUUUGACCCCAUAUAGUAUUCCACCUAAUGAAUUGAAUAUUAAGGUAAAUUUUCCUACAAUGUUAUUGAGAAAUAUUAAUCAUUUUGAAGGCUUAUGCAAUAGGGCACGCCUUACUUAUCGAGAAUUUGAGAAGAAUGUAAUUCUGCUGAAAUCACAACCGGUGAAUAUUGUAAAAAAUAUAUUUUCUUAUUGGGAUUCCUUUUAUACCUCUUAAGACAGAUCGAAACUCAAUUCCAUUUAAAAAAACUCAAUUUUCAAUUAGACCAUACUUUACAAUGGCAAUAAAAAAAAUUAUAGGGCCAAACAGUUGAUUUUGUUGGUUUGUAUUUUCCAGAACCCCUUUUUUUCAUGGUCAACUUUAUGUAACAUUAUCAUGAGCUAGAACAAGUACAAAGAUAAAAGUUUUGGUGAAACCAUCAACUACUGAAAACUUACACAAUACAUGUACUAAGAAUGUUGUCUACAAGGAAAUCCUUUCUUUCAUACAUUCGUAGAGUUAUAACUUGGCUUCCUUGUUCAUUAUUGAAAAACUUCAUGAAUUUGUGCAAUUAAAGUCAUCGAUGAAGCUAUCAAAUUUGCAUGGAAUAACUUACAAACAAUUGGAAAAAAAGAUGAAAGUGUUAUCAGAGAAGCUCAUGAGUUUUUCCAAACACAAUUCUUCAACGAUCAAUGGCCAAUUCAUCACCUGGAGAAAAAGAGUUGAAGAUAGUUGGUCGAACAUUGAAAUGAAUAGUUUCAAGAUGGCCCCGGUUAUUGCAAAUAUGGGUAGAGCAAGUAUUCCUCUCUGUCGGACAAUCAUACACAUUUUUGGUUGAAUUCUGGAUCUGUUUGCUGCUGACCUUAUUCGGUUACAUUCCUGGAAUAAUCUAUGCUAUUUAUGCCAUCACCAAAAAUUGAUGAAUCCAUGGUAAGUUGAGGACAAUGGCGAUGAGCUUGAUGUUGUUACAAUGAUGUUAGUCCUAUUCGUAAUUUCUUUGUAUUUAUGUAGAAUUUACUUUAUCACCCUAAAUUGUGUCAUGAGGUGAUUUAUUAUAUUGUCUUUGUUUGGUUCAUUUUGUAACUUUGGAAGUAUUACAUUUCUUUUAUGUCGUUUGAUUAUGGUAUAUUUGUCUUGUUUCUUUA